rnacentral:rRNA from 1 species
GUAAUGUGAAUUGCAGAAUUCCGUGCCCCCUCGAAUCUUUGAACGCACCUUGCGCUCUAUGGCAAUCCGUAGAGCAUGCCUGUUUGAGUGCCAUGAAAUCUCCCACCCCAAGCGGUUUUUAAAUGAAACGGCUUGGCGGAUGGGGUCUGGAUGGGUGCCUCUGCCUGCGCUACCUAGCACAGGCUCGCCCGAAAUGCAUGAGCGCCUUGAGACACUUUGCAUCCGCCUCUCUGUUUGGGAGGAGGCGGCCAAGCAGUGUUUUUCUCCUGGCAUGGCAUGAUACGUCAUUUGCUAUGUCACCUAAAGGAGGAAUGUUUGGUUGUGUCUGCGUGUGCUUCAAACUUGCCUCUGUGGCACAUCCCAAUUUCACUUCUGGUCUCAAAUCAGGUAGGAUCACCCGCUGAACUUAAGCAUAUCAAUAAGCGGAGGAAA